AUUGAACGCUGGCGGCAGGCCUAACACAUGCAAGUCGAGCGAGCGGCGGACGGGUGAGUAAUGUCUGGGAAACUGCCUGAUGGAGGGGGAUAACUACUGGAAACGGUAGCUAAUACCGCAUACCAUCAGAUGUGCCCAGAUGGUGUUAGCUCGUCGGUGGGGUAACGGCUCACCUAGGCGACGAUCCCUAGCUGGUCUUAGAGGAUGACCAGCCACCCUGGAACUGAGACACGGUCCAGACUCCUACGGGAGGCAGCAGUGGGGAAUAUUGCACAAUGGGCGCAAGCCUGAUGCAGCCAUGCCGCGUGUGUGAAGAAGUCCUUCGGGUUGUAAAGCACUUUCAGCGGGGAGGCGGGAACAGAAGAAGAAGCACCGGCUAACUCCGUGCCAGCAGCCGCGGUAAUAA
rnacentral:rRNA from 1 species